GCAGAACUUAGUGGAGAGAUUCUCAAGACAACGGCGAAAGAGCUCAAAGGAAGAUGGCUGAGGGAGGCACAGUGAACAUGCAAAUGCUACAUGAGUCAUUCAAGAAGUUUGUGGCCUGUGGAGACUCCAAAGCCACCGGCAAUGAAAUGACCGAAAAAAACUGGGCCAAGCUGUGCAAAGACUGCAAAAUCAUUGAUGGCAAAAACAUCACCUCAACAGACGUUGACAUAGCCUUUUUGAAAGUGAAAUGCAUUCCUGAAUGCCUUCGAGAAGAUGUUGGUGUUUUAUCUUCUUGAGUCGCUGUCUGGUGAAGAUGCUUCCAGGAAUUAGACCCAGCAUGGUCUUCCAUGAAGGUGCUGGAGGUGUGGAAAGCACCAUGCAGAUGGGUUUCCAAUCAGAUUUCCAAUUUGCCUUGCUUGGUGUUGACCUGCUGUGUUGUUGGAGUUUUACUUA